rnacentral:rRNA from 1 species
CAGCCGCCGCGGUAAUACAGAGGGUGCGAGCGUUAAUCGGAUUUACUGGGCGUAAAGCGUGCGUAGGCGGCUUCUUAAGUCGGAUGUGAAAUCCCUGAGCUUAACUUAGAAAUUGCAUUCGAUACUGGGAAGCUAGAGUAUGGGAGAGGAUGGUAGAAUUCCAGGUGUAGCGGUGAAAUGCGUAGAGAUCUGGAGGAAUACCGAUGGCGAAGGCAGCCAUCUGGCCUAAUACUGACGCUGAGGUACGAAAGCAUGGGGAGCAAACAGGAUUAGAUACCCCCGUAGUCCCUGUCUCUUAUAC